rnacentral:rRNA from 1 species
AGCAGCCGCGGUAAUUCCAGCUCCAAUAGCGUAUAUUAAAGUUGUUGCAGUUAAAAAGCUCGUAGUUGAAUUUCGGGAUCAGUACGCUGGUCGUGCCUUUGGUAUGUACUGGUGUCACUGAUUCCUCCCUUCUGAAGAACCGUUAUGCCAUUUAUUUGGUGUGGCGGGAAAUCAGGACUGUCACUUUGAAAAAAUUAGAGUGUUUAAAGCAGGCUCACGCUUGAAUACAUUAGCAUGGAAUAAUGAAAUAGGACGUUUGAUUCUAUUUUGUUGGUUUCUAGGAUCGACGUAAUGAUUAAUAGGGAUAGUUGGGGGCAUUAGUAUUCAAUUGUCAGAGGUGAAAUUCUUGGAUUUAUUGAAGACUAACUACUGCGAAAGCAUUUGCCAAGGAUGUUUUCAUUAAUCAAGAACGAAAGUUAGGGGAUCGAAGACGAUCAGAUACCGUCGUAGUCUUAACCAUAAACUAUGCCGACUAGGGAUCGUAUGAUGUUAAUUUUUAAU